AUUGAACGCUGGCGGCAGGCUUAACACAUGCAAGUCGAGCGGAGCGAGGGUGCUUGCACCUUAGCUUAGCGGCGGACGGGUGAGUAAUGCUUAGGAAUCUGCCUAUUAGUGGGGGACAACAUUCCGAAAGGAAUGCUAAUACCGCAUACGCCCUACGGGGGAAAGCAGGGGAUCUUCGGACCUUGCGCUAAUAGAUGAGCCUACGUCGGAUUAGGUAGUUGGUGGGGUAAAGGCCUACCAAGGCGACGAUCUGUAGCGGGUCUGAGAGGAUGAUCCGCCACACUGGGAGUGAGACACGGCCCAGACUCCUACGGGAGGCAGCAGUGGGGAAUAUUGGACAAUGGGCGGAAGCCUGAUCCAGCCAUGCCGCGUGUGUGAAGAAGGCCUUUUGGUUGUAAAGCACUUUAAGCGAGGAGGAGGCUACUUAGAUUAAUACUCUGGGAUAGUGGACGUUACUCGCAGAAUAAGCACCGGCUAACUCUGUGCCAGCAGCCGCCGCCGU
rnacentral:rRNA from 1 species